rnacentral:lncRNA from 1 species
ACAUGUUGAAAAUACAUGCCAAAAUUUUAUUUGCACGUAGCCAAGACGUACGGGUAUGGAAAAGAAUGGAACCGGGAGUAUGAGUACGGGUAUAGGUUUGGCCAGAAAAAUUGUGACGGGUGAGGGUUUGGGCAAGCAUUACCCGCACCCGAACGCUGCGGGUGCCAAACGGAGGCGACCCUUUCCUCUUUGUGCUGCGCCCCUCGGUUUAUUGCGGCAGAAGAGCGGCGAGUAGAGCGACGAGGGCGUGAGGCCGCCUGCUGCUUGUGGCGGCGGCGGCAUGGAGAGGGGCGAGN